rnacentral:lncRNA from 1 species
GAGGUGUUACACAGCUCUCUUUUUAAUUCAUAAAUUUUGGUCCUAUUGGCAGUGCCAUAGCGAGCCUGAAGUUGUGACCAUAUGCUUUGAGCAAUAUCAGAAUAAUGCACGGACUCAGCAAUCGCAUGAGAAAUAGAAGCAGUUAGCCAUGAGAUUACCAUACUAUUACACCUGUCCCAUAAUCACUGUUGAACCGCAUUAGUGGCUGGUCGAGGACAGGUUCCAUCUAUGAAACCAAUUUUAUUUUUAGCAGUCA